CAUCACAGCACUCAGCUGUGCGACUCAUUCCACCACGUUUCCAUGAUGGCAACUAUAUCAUAGCUUUCUGACCACACGAUGGCCUCCAGCUCCUCCUGUUUAUUACCCAUGCUGCGUGCACUGGUGUCAAAGCACCUGAGCUGGGCCUCCUUUGGAGCGGCAGUAGCCCUAAUACCCUCACGACCAUACUCAGUCCCCCACUACCACAAAUUAUGCAGUCGAGUUUCCCGCAUUUGGGGAAAUCGCAGGGGUCAGCACACCCGGAGUGCAGGGGAUGAGCCUCGCCCUGGGAAAACCACCUGCCUGAUCAUGGUGUCUCCCCUGCCAGGUGGUUUUCCCAGGGCGAGGCUCAUCCCCUGCACUCCGGGUGUGCUGACCCCUGCGAUUUCCCCAAAUGCGGGAAACUCGACUGCAUAAUUUGUGGUAGUGGGGGACUGCGUUCGCGCUCUCCCCUGAUUUGCGCCGUUCAAAG
ensembl:lncRNA